AAAAAAGCUUUUCAGUGCUAGUAAUCUGCCUGGAUGAUUUUUUUCAAAAUAGUUCCACUAGGGUCUUGGGAAGAAGAAAAUUUCAGACAAAUUAAAUGACUUUUGGUUUUGAUUAGCUGCCAAAGUACACCCUAUGACUUCAAAAUCCAUUUUAAGAAAACACUGAUAUUUCUAUUUCCCCCUUCUCCUUUCAAACAAUUCUUCUGUCUUAUUGGUACAGUUUGAUUUCUUUGCACAUCUCUUCAGGCAGGCUGUUAACAAAUAUAACUAAAUCCCUGAACCCUAUUUUAGCAGAUAAUAUUAAUCCCCACUUCUGUUCUAUUCCACAGAAUACUACAUCACUUCGAGUCACACACAUGCAGUGGCAGGUGGGUGGAACAACAAAUAUCUAGUUAGAUUUCUAAUUAAGACUUAUGCAAAUUGGAUUCUGAUUGCCCAUUGAUUUCAUAGUAUGUAGAUUUCAUUGCUUCACUGCAAAUCCAUUUUGAACUUUUUCAUUGAUACAAUCAAGUGUGGCUGUUUUAAUAUAUCACCAGUAGAAUCUCAGCCUAUUGGAGUCGACAGUCACGCCUCAUUGAGUGACAGAAUACAAUCCCAUGGUCCAGACCCAGAGAGAAGGGCAAGUCUUAAAGGUACAACCUUGAGUCUGGAAUUUUUACCCCAUAUUUUACUUUCCCCAAAAAUAAAACAGUUCAUUGGGCAUCAUUUAGUGAGAGAGGUUGUUCAAGAAUGACUGUGUCAGCUCCUGGUCCAUUUCAUCCUUUCAGAGGUUAACCAUGACUUCAGUUCAAGAAGACAGUCCAAACAGCUCUCAUUCCUUUAUUGUAACUGAUAAACUCUGAAGCUGGGGCACCAGAAGAAAAUUUACAUGAUCACACUAUAGUUCUGUUCUAAUCAUCUGCAGGUACAAAGUUCAGCUUGCUAUUCAAAUCCCAUUUACAUUGCCUAUCAAAAAAGGGUUUGGUUGGCUGAAGGAAGCUGGGCCUGAACUGGCUGUACUGUCAGCAUUGAUGUAUCCUAUGACAAACUGUCAAUUCACUGAGAAUCAUUGCCUUGAGAAUCCCCACAGAGUCUCGAGAAAUACUGUACAAGGAUUUUUAUGCUUGCACAAUCAGAUUAAAUGAACUACCUCAAAACAAGACAACAAACUUCAGCCAAGCCAUACAAAGAAAACUGAAUGCAAAGCAUAUUCUAACUCUGCUGAACUUCUAGCCAUAGAGGACUCCUUACAAAGCAAAGAACAUACAGACUUACCAUCAAAUACAUGCUGGAAAAUUCUAUUUACUUUAAUAGGGUUUAACAAUAAAUUGCUCAGUUAGUUGGA